rnacentral:rRNA from 4 species
AAGGCGAGGCCGAAAGGCGUAGUCGAUGGGAAACGGGUUAAUAUUCCCGUACUUGGUGUUACUGCGAAGGGGGGACGGAGAAGGCUAUGUUGGCCGGGCGACGGUUGUCCCGGUUUAAGCGUGUAGGUGUGUGUUCCAGGUAAAUCCGGUUCACUUUAACACUGAGGCGUGACGACGAGGCACUACGGUGCUGAAGCAACAAAUGCCCUGCUUCCAGGAAAAGCCUCUAAGCAUCAGGUAACAUCAAAUCGUACCCCAAACCGACACAGGUGGUCAGGUAGAGAAUAC